UGAAAGCAGAUGUUCCCGCACUGGAAGUGCUGUCAGUUUGUUUGUCCAGCACUGUCAAAGCUGGGCCCUCUCCCAGCGGGGUUGGAGCCUCAGCUGUGGCUGGAGGCAGCUGCAGGAAUUCCCAGUGUCCGGGAGUGGCUCUCCAGUCCUUGGCUGGGACAGCUUCCCCCAGCUGAUGGGUGGCUCUGGGUGAUGGUAAAGUCUGAGGGGAACUGGGGCUGGAUCUUGGUUAAUCACUGCAGGCAAUCUUUGGCACUGAUGAUUGGGGGCAUUGCUGAGCUGCUCCUGCUGUGAUUCUUUGCUGCUUUGAGCUGUAGCAAAUGACACAGUUCCUUCAGUUGGUGUCUGUGUCUUUGGUGCUGGCCCUGCCCACUGGUACAACAAAAUUGGUGUAGUCUGGCCGGAUCACACCAAAAUGUCACUUUUUAAAUGUAAAUGUAAGGAAUCAGUCCUGUCUGAAAUCCUGGAUGGGAAGAGCUUCCCUGGAGUUCGCUGGCUCUGGAGUGGGCUGAGGUCGGAGCACCGUGAGAGCAGUGGGGCAGUCGGUUAAAAGGAGCUGAAGCGCUGGAUGUCUUAAAAUGCAUCCAAAAAUUGGAUGUGGAAAAAGGAAAAGAGCUUGUGGGUUUGGGAAGAGGAGGAUGGAUUUUGUUAACAGCAUAUUGGAAACAGCACCAACAGAAGGAACAAUUGUUGUUGGAACGCUCCCACAUGGAGCAAUAGAAGAAGUUUUUAAUCUUGAGCUCAAAUGUCUUUGUGCAAGUUAACCAGUAAUAAUAUCAUAUUAUAUAUAUAAAAUAAUAUUUAUAUUGUAUAGAUAAUAAAUAAUAAUGUGAAAUAGUGCUGACAAUACAAAUUCUUUAGCUAUGGCUGCUCAGGGAUGUCACACUAAAUACCCUCCAGAAAAUGAUUGGCCAGGACCCAAAGGUCACUGGUAAAUUUUGUGAGAUUGCACACAACGCAUAAAGGAGGAAGGGAUGGAAUUGGCUGUUUUUACAGGGUUUGCUGAUACUGUGAUCUGGAAUGCUUUGUCUGUUCCUGUGAAAAAGACAGUGAUGAAGACUGCUGGGUUUUUCAUAUCCCAGAUUAUCCACAAGCUGCAGGAAUUGGUUGAGCAGAUGAAGGGGUUGUUAAAAGAGCAGCUGAAAAAAUGAGGAGAUGGGAACCCGUCCUGAUGGAGAACCCAUCUCCCAGAUGUGCUCCAUAGC